GUGGGGAAUCUUAGACAAUGGGCGCAAGCCUGAUCUAGCCAUGCCGCGUGAGCGAUAAAGGCCUUAGGGUUGUAAAGCUCUUUCGUGGGGGAAGAUAAUGACUGUACCCCAAGAAGAAGCCCCGGCUAACUCCGUGCCAGCAGCCGCGGUAAUACGGAGGGGGCUAGCGUUGUUCGGAAUUACUGGGCGUAAAGCGCACGUAGGCGGACUGGAAAGUCAGGGGUGAAAUCCCGGGGCUCAACCCCGGAACUGCCUUUGAAACUCCCAGUCUUGAGUUCGAGAGAGGUGAGUGGAAUUCCGAGUGUAGAGGUGAAAUUCGUAGAUAUUCGGAGGAACACCAGUGGCGAAGGCGGCUCACUGGCUCGAUACUGACGCUGAGGUGCGAAAGCGUGGGGAGCAAACAGGAUUAGAUACCCGUGUAGUCC
rnacentral:rRNA from 1 species